rnacentral:tRNA from 1 species
GCGGGGGUGGCGGAAUUGGCAGACGCGCUGGACUUAGGAUCCAGUGGGGCAACCCGUGCGGGUUCAAGUCCCGCCCUUCGCA